rnacentral:rRNA from 1 species
GAUGAACGCUGGCGGCGUGCCUAAUACAUGCAAGUCGAGCGAACAGACGAGGAGCUUGCUCCUCUGACGUUAGCGGCGGACGGGUGAGUAACACGUGGAUAACCUACCUAUAAGACUGGGAUAACUUCGGGAAACCGGAGCUAAUACCGGAUAACAUGUUGAACCGCAUGGUUCAACAGUGAAAGACGGUUUUGCUGUCACUUAUAGAUGGAUCCGCGUCGCAUUAGCUAGUUGGUAAGGUAACGGCUUACCAAGGCAACGAUGCGUAGCCGACCUGAGAGGGUGAUCGGCCACACUGGAACUGAGACACGGUCCAGACUCCUACGGGAGGCAGCAGUAGGGAAUCUUCCGCAAUGGGCGAAAGCCUGACGGAGCAACGCCGCGUGAGUGAAGAAGGUCUUCGGAUCGUAAAACUCUGUUAUUAGGGAAGAACAAAUGUGUAAGUAACUAUGCACGUCUUGACGGUACCUAAUCAGAAAGCCACGGCUAACUACGUG